GGGGAACCGCCUGAACUGAAACAUCUAAGUAGGGCGAGGAAGAGACAUCAAACGAGAUUCCGUAAGUAGUGGCGAGCGAACGCGGAAGAGGGCAAACCGAAGGUAGAAAUACCUUCGGGGUACGGAGCGCAUUUAAGACUCAAGUUGUUAACCGAACGGCAUGGGAAGGCCGGUCAGAGAGUGUGAGAACCACGUAGGUGAAAACGGAAAGAGCUGCGCAGAUUCCAGAGUACGGCCAGACACGUGAAACCUGGUCGGAAGAUGGGGGGACCACCCUCCAACCCUAAAUACUACCCAGUGACCGAUAGCGUAUAGUACUGUGAAGGAAAGGUGAAAAGCACCCCGGGAGGGGAGUGAAAAAGAACCUGAAACCCUGUGCCUACAAGCACCUAGAGCACGUCAAAGUGUGAUAGGGUACUUUUUGUAGAACGGUCCGGCGAGCGAUUGUAUGCAGCAAGGUUAAGGACUUAAGGUCUGGAGCCGAAGCGAAAGCGAGUUUGAAAAGGGCGUUAAGUUGCAUAUAAUGGGCCCGAAACCGGGUGACCUACCCAUGGUCAGGUUGAAGUGGAAGUAAAAUUCCAUGGAGGACCGAACCGACCUCCGUUGAAAAGGCGGCGGAUGAACUGUGGGUAGCGGAGAAAUUCCAAUCGAACCCGGAGAUAGCUGGUUCUCCCCGAAAUAGUUUUAGGACUAGCCUCAAGUUAGAUACCUGGAGGUAAAGCACUGAAUAGCCUAGCGGCCGAGAGGUUAGCGAAGCUUAUCAAACUCAGAAUGCCAGAGUAUUGAUGCUUGGGAGUCAGACAGUGUCAGAUAAAUGUCAUUGUCAAAAGGGAAACAGCCCAGAUCUACAGCUAAGGUCCCAAAGUCAGGUUAAGUGGAAAACGAUGUGAAGAUACGCAGACAACCAGGAUGUUGGCUCAGAAGCAGCCACUCAUUCAAAGAGUGCGUAAUAGCUCACUGGUCGAGCGUCUUUGCGCGGAGAAUUUAACGGGGCUAAACCUGACACCGAAGCUUAGGCAAUCCAGUAAUGGAUUGGGUAGGGGAGCGUUGUAUACGCGGAGAAACAGUAGCGUAAGCGGCUGUGGAGUGUAUAGAAGUGAGAAUGCCGGAAUGAGUAGCGCGAAUGCAGUGAGAAUCUGCAUGGCCGAAAGCCUCAGGUUUUUGGAGGAAGGUUCGUCCGCUCCAAGUUAGUCGGGAGCUAAGGUGAGGCCGGAAGGCGUAGCCGAUGCACAGACGGUAGAGAUUCCGUCACCACCAAAAGAGUUAAGCACAGGGACACAUUUGAAGUCUCAGAGCCGGGUGUUGGUUCCGGUAGAGAUCGAGGGAAGUUAGUACCGAAGUCUGGGAUGGAAGAUGGCGAGAAAAGCUGUGUGUAUUUCUGAGGUGCCCGUACCGCAAACCGACACAGGUAGGUAGGAAGAAGAUUCUAAGGCCAACGGGAGAAGGGUUGUUAAGGAACUCGGCAAAUUGACCCCGUAACUUCGGGAGAAGGGGUGCUCCAGAGAUGGAGCCGCAGAGAAUCGGCCCAAGCAACUGUUUACCAAAAACACAGGUUUGUGCUAAAUCGAAAGAUGACGUAUACGAGCUGACGCCUGCCCGGUGCUGGAAGGUUAAGAGGAGAUGUGCAAGCAUUGAAUCGAAGCCCCAGUGAACGGCGGCCGUAACUAUAACGGUCCUAAGGUAGCGAAAUUCCUUGUCAGGUAAGUUCUGACCCGCA
rnacentral:rRNA from 1 species